UUCUUAUAUUUUCUAUAUUAUUUUUUUAUUAUUAAAUACAUUUUUAAUUCAUAUCUGUAAAGAAUAGCGCAAUUACUUCUAUUUAUUUGUUUCUAUAAAAUUAAAACGAAAAAGAAAAAAAUGAAUCUCAAAUCAUUAAUCUUGAUCACUGAUUUAAAAAACACGUUAGAAAAGAAAACUGUACAUAAAUUGUCUCGUUAAAAAUUACUAUUUACAAAAGAUUGAAUUUGAAUCUCAAUAAUAAUAACAGAAACAUCACCAUCAUAUCAAUAUCAACUUAAUCGUUCCUUAAUUCACAGGGGAGAGAAAAGGUAAAUCCUUGGCACGAUCGAUGCGCUCAUUCGUUAAAUACUUUCUUUUUUUUCUUUUCUUUUAAUCUAGAACAGAAAAAUCCAAAGAUAUCGUCCGCGCAUCGUACGUGUACCGAAGUUACAAUAGAGCGGAAGGUAUGUACUAAUUGGAUGCAGCCUUUCAGCAGAAGCAAGCAGCAACGGGGGUUGGUUUAGAUUGGAAGAGCGGCGUGGACUGCGGCUGGCUACGACGGAUCGGGUUACACAAAGGCAGCUUUUUUAAUUGGAUAACGUCAUAUCGACGCGUUCACACGCGUAUGCCAACUUUUUUUCCCAUCGAUUUGCUUGCUGGUCCGCCAUCGGCCACCUAUGGGACGGCCGCAGAGAAACGUCCAACGUCGUCCUCCCUGUCGACGACGACGAGGAAAAUGCCGUUGGAAUGCCUGUUGUUGUUCCACCAAUACAGACGUGUUACGCGCGAAAUUGUUGGCCUGUCGUUUUCGACACUGAAGGUGUUCCAUGGAGAAGAGAUAAAAAAAAGAAGGGAGGGAGGAAAAGGUUGUUUCUUUCGUGGUACGUAUUGGAACGAGAUCACCGCUUAUCAAACAACGCGAUUGUAUUUUCAAUUUUUAAUCUAAACUAAUGGGUAUCCCAGAAAACUGUCGAUAACAUUUACAUAGGUAAUAUUUAUAUCUUCUUUUCAAUAGUGAGAGAUAAUCGUGAAUGUUUGGGUUGGAAUUAUUGUUAGAGAUGGGGAAAGAGGAUGUUGAUUCGAGAGAAUUUUGCAAGAUAGAUCCAUUAUUUUUAAUUCUUCUAAUUUCAGAUUAAAAGAAAAGGAAAAAAUGAUUGGACAUAUAUUUUUGAUCUCAAAUUAUUCGCUAUUAUUAUUCGCAAAAUACUUCAAUUAUUCGUGGAUGAAGUAACACGAACUAAGUAGAAGAAACACAGUCAUCGUUUCUAAUAGUGAUCACGAGAUAAGGGGGGGCUUUAGGUAAUUUACUAAUGUAGAAUCAUCCCUCUUUGUGCUGUUUUUCCCUCAAAUUUCACCUUUUAUCUCCUCUCAUUCCCUUUUUCUUUACGUAUUUACGUUGUGAGCAUCAAUUUUUUUCAUCUUAACCUUUCUUUCUUCCCCGUUCGUUCUACGACCACUCUGGCAGCACGUUAUCUAUCCUCUUGAAGCAAGCUAUUACGCGAUUGUAUCUUAAAUAAAAUAUCACGAGCAUCCCAUCGCCAACCACUCGAAAUAAUAAUUGUCAUCUCGAUGUCAGCUUUCGCUUCUACGAUCCUUUUACCCUCGACUAUGUGCCCACAUCUCAUUUCCUGCCUUUCUUCUGCUUUCCUUUUUGCGAACAGAGCAAACGAAUUCGAAAUAGGAUAAUCUCGAUUGUGUUAUUGCAAUUAGUUUUUUUAAAAAUUGUAAAAAGUAAUUAGAAUUAUUUUAAUAAAAAAAUAUAGUGAAAAAAAUAAAAAGUUUUACUUUUAAAAAUAAUAUAUUAACUGCUGAAAAUAUUAUUUCGCGAGACAACCAAUUUUCAUUAUAGAAAAUGAUAAGAAACUAUGAUUAAUCAGAGACUGGUAAAUCAAAAACUUUUUAACAUUGUAUAAAAGUUAGAAUAUUAAAAACAAUUAGUAAAUAGAAAUUAAAAAAUGAAAAUUCAUUAUCGAAAGUUAUUUAAUACUCUUUAAACAUACAACAUUUCCUCCAUUUUUUCAAGAAUUUAUCUAGAAGAGAAGAAUAAUGGUAACUAAUCAUUUCAUUACGAAUCUUAAUUAAAAAGAUAUCCUCAAAUUAUUCAAAAACAUUCGGAUCGUUAAAAUGGCUUUUUUAUAGUGGCUCUAAAAACAAUAUUAUCCUCAUUUUCAGGAUCAAACGACGCAGUUUAAAGAAUUAAUUAUAUCGGAUUUAAUACAACGGAAUAAAAUGGACGACAUAAUAAUAUGAGCAAUUAAUACUUAUCCUUUUUUCUUUCUUUUUUUCUUUUUUUUUU